ensembl:snRNA U2 U2 spliceosomal RNA
AUCGCUUCUCGGCCUUUUGGCUAAGAUCAAGUGAAAUGUCUGGUAGAAUUCAUGCAUGAAAUCAGUAAGUUCAGGGAUUCUCUGUGUCAGAAGAUUUUGGAUCACUGAUUCAAUCCAUUUGGUAGUUAUACAUAUAAUAUACAGAAUACUGUGCCCAUCAAAGUUAGCACACAUAUUCUUCUCAAG